CCUGUGCGGCACAGUCUGCCGUUGUGAUUUUGAGCAAGGCCAUAUAAUUUUGAGAGAAUAUUACUUGCGUUUAGAUUACAACUAUCCGACGCAAUUUAAUAUCAGUGUUUCUAGCCCAAUAUAUCCUUCGUUUGAUAUUUUUAAGGAGGAAAAUCAUUAUUGUUUGAGUUGUACCUGAGCUAAGCAAAUAUGAUCAAGAAUCGAAGCCUUGCUGGAAAGUGGGCAAUAGGCUUGUUUUCUCUCACAUUAAUUCUUGUAGUACUUGCUUUUUCAACUCAGAAUUGGCUCGCCAGUGACGACCGUUUCUAUGGCGCAAAGUUGGAGAAAAUGGGAUUGUGGGUUCAUUGCUUCAGGAGCCUUACUGGCCCAAACGAUCCCACGCAGCGUCUGUUCUUCAGUGGCUGUCGCUGGCUGUUUGAUACCUACACAACAGGCUAUGCUGAGAUUCGAAGCCACUUAACACCUCCAUUCUUCAUAGCUGUGCAGAUGUUCUACACCCUGACUUUCAUGUGCACGGCAACAAGCGGAGUUCUGGUUCUGAUGCUGAUGUUUUGUAUCGACGAGGACCGUGAAACGUGCUUCCUGAGAGUGAUCGCCACUCUGAUGGGACUGUCUGGCAUUUGCGGCACGUUGUCUGUGAUCAUAUUCGGCGCCAACGGUCGCAGCUACGAGUGGACCGCCGACAAACAGCACAACUAUCUGUCCUGGAGCUACGGUCUAGGUGUACUGGCCAGCUUCCUGGCCCUGUGCGACAUGGCACUAUUCCUGGUCGAUGCCCGCAUCAAGCAGCGUAAACUGAAGGGUCGCGGCUCCACCCGACCGAAAGUCAAGGAUACAGAGAUAUAGUGGCGUUCCGGCCGCCACGGCAGAGGCUAACCAUGUGCUGGCACGCCGUCCUCGCGGCGUUCCUGCAGCUCGUGCUCUGCGUACUGGUCAUCAACGAGGUCAGGAUCACAAGAAAGAAACACAGUCGCAUGAUGCCGCCGCAGCAGGCAGCAGAAGUGGAUCUGUAAUUGAUACAGCGCUACCCAGUGGCAAUGUGAACAACUUCAGCUGCCGGCAGCGCCACCAGAGGCGCUCGUAAUCGUGUUUGUUCUAUGGUGAGCAUUUGAUUUUCAGUUACGUGUACCGUGGUUCACAGGAAGUGAUCUGUGAAUGUUGUAUCGUUUUUAUAUGAAUCUCCCUGAAAAAGUUCUGAUCUGGCAUUUUUGCUAUACUUGCACUUGAAGAAAAGUCAUCUAUUUACCGGUAUCGUAGUUCAUUUUAUCUUUACGCAUCAUUGAGGCGGUGUUGGAAGCCUUUUUAUUUCAUUUUCAAUUUUGUACCUCGUUUAGAGGCAGCCAACUUGUUGUAAUUUGAAGGCUCGACGUUUUUGUCUCGUUUUCAAAUGAUGGGCAUGCUGUUGUGAACGAGCGUUGUUGUUUGAAGCGCGCCGACCAGUCUUCCGUCCACAGCUGCAGAGCAACUGUCCGUCCAGAUAACGAAUCUCAGUGUACAUUCCGCCGCUUUUUGCACACGUAUCCGUCCGCAUAUGCUGCUCACAAGCAUCGCUGAAGGUUGUACUUAUCAAAGCUGCGGUGUUUUCGUGAGAUGCUGUACCUAAUCGGGACGCACUGACGUCUAGCUUAGUACUACUCAUACUGAUAUGUAAUGAAGAUUAGACGUUUUAGAUGCACCUGUUUGAAGGGACAGUCGCGUUAUUCAUCUCGCAUGCGAUAUGCGUAUUUUUCUAUCGUAUUGUAAGCUGGGAUUGACGGCGAUAUUGCUCCUAUUCGGGGCAUGUGUUCAUCCGCUUGUCUUUGUAAAUACAUUCCGCUACAUUGAAAAA